ACGGGGGGUGCAAGCGUUGAUCGGAAUCACUGGGCGUAAAGAGCGCGUAGGCGGCCUGAUAUGUCAGAUGUGAAAGCCCUGGGCUCAACCCAGGAAGUGCAUUGGAAACUGUCAGGCUCGAGUAGGGGAGAGGGAAGCGGAAUUCCUGGUGUAGAGGUGAAAUUCGUAGAUAUCAGGAGGAACACCGGUGGCGAAGGCGACCACCUGGCCCUAAACUGACGCUGAGGCGCGAGAGCGUGGGUAGCAAACAG
rnacentral:rRNA from 1 species